UAAAGCAUUAACAUGCCUGCAUUGUUGACGUUUUCCAGCUUAUAGUUACUCUCACACUGGAGCUAUCCCCCAACGGCCCCGACCAUCAUGCUUCUCAAUGUGUUUACCUAUUUUUUGUGCUGGAUUUGACUUGCUGUUUGGUGAUUUGUCGAGCAAACGGAUCUUGGCGUUAACAUUGAUGCUAGAAGGAGGGUUGUUUUAGUGCUAUUUUACAAUCACCAGUUUGCUUUAAGUUGAUCGUAUGACGAGUAAUGGAAGAUCAGUUUAUAACCAGGAGAG
rnacentral:lncRNA from 1 species